rnacentral:rRNA from 1 species
ACUCGAGUGGCGAACGGGUGAGUAACACGUGGGUGAUCUGCCCUGCACUUUGGGAUAAGCCUGGGAAACUGGGUCUAAUACCGAAUAUGAUCAUCGGCUUCAUGGUCGGUGGUGGAAAGCUUUUGCGGUGUGGGAUGGGCCCGCGGCCUAUCAGCUUGUUGGUGGGGUAAUGGCCUACCAAGGCGACGACGGGUAGCCGGCCUGAGAGGGUGACCGGCCACACUGGGACUGAGAUACGGCCCAGACUCCUACGGGAGGCAGCAGUGGGGAAUAUUGCACAAUGGGCGCAAGCCUGAUGCAGCGACGCCGCGUGAGGGAUGACGGCCUUCGGGUUGUAAACCUCUUUCAGCACAGACGAAGCGCAAGUGACGGUAUGUGCAGAAGAAGGACCGGCCAACUACGUGCCAGCAGCCGCGGUAAAUACGUAGGGUCCGAGCGUUGUCCGGAAUUACU